GGGGGCGUACAGGUUUCGACGGGGGAAGCAUUGUCAAGGGAAGCCAGGCGAGAUCCCACCAACUCGUUAAACGGUGGAACCCAUUAACUGCCAACGAAGAAUACGCACUAGCUGCUUAAUUUAGCAGCUACGCCCGCCUCGCCCGGCCCGCAGGGCGGGGAGGGGUGUCAACCCGGCGGGCUACCUUGAGGCUGAUGCUCAGGGGCCUCAAGGGAAAACCGAUGAGCUGGCCAAAGCGGUAUCCGGUCCCGGGGAGACGCGGCGGCGAGAGCCAAAACCGGGACUAUCCUGGUAGAAGCCCUUGGGGGUGCUCCUGCGGACGCGGGUUCGAUUCCCGCCGCCUCCACCA
rnacentral:tmRNA from 1 species